rnacentral:rRNA from 1 species
AUAUUGGACAAUGGGGGCAACUCUGAUCAAGCCAUGCCGUGUGUGUGAAGAAGGACAAAGGAUUGUAAAGCUCUUUAAGUUGGGAGGAAAGGCUUUAGGUUAAUACCGUGAAGUGUUGACGUUACCAACAGAAUAUGCACUGGCUAAAUCUGUGUCAGCAGCCGCAGUAAUACAGAGGGUGCAAGCGUUAAUCGGAAAUAUUGGGGGUAAAGCGGGCGUAGGUAGUUCAGUAAGAUGGGUUUGAAAUCCCCCGGCUUAACCUGGGAACUGCUUUCAUAACUGCUGAGCUAGAGUACAGUAGAGGGUAGUGGAAUUUCCUGUGUAGCGGUGAAAUGCGUAGGUAUAAGAAGGAACACCAGUGGCGAAGGCGACUACCUGGACUGAUACUGACACUGAGGUGCGAAAGCGUGGGGAGCAAAC